UUGUUUGUAUGAGCAUCUGGGUAACCUUGGAGACCCGAAGAGGGCAUUGGAUUCCCUGGAGCUGGAGAGAUAGGAGCUGUGACCCUUCAGAUGUGGAUGCUGGGAACUGAACACCUCUACAACAGGAGCAAGAGCGGAGUCAUGGCUGCCGCCCUGAGACUGAUCGCUUCAGGGGCGAAUGGAAACUUUUGAAGCCAGCGAUGACCUUGAAUGCCUCUACCUGUCUAGAGCUGAGAGUACAGUCGCUUAGAGCAGCACAAACAAGGAAUCAUUUAUAGAAGUAUGGACAUCUUACCAGUGGUCACUCUCGUGAAGGAAACGUUUUUACUUCCCUCCGCACUUGUUAACUGCUUAUACCGUCUUCAGGAAGAAGGGGAACUUGAUGAGUCCCUCCAACAUCCACGAUGAAAUAUCAGCAGGCCAAACCUGGUGUAGUUCUUGUGCAGCUGAGCACCAUGACUGAGCGCUGAAGAGCAUAAUGGCCAUGUUUCAUACAGAGGACAAAGAACGUCUACACCAUUCUUCGCUUUCCUAAGGCACUUACAUUCUUUCUGCCUCCCAUCUACUGCUUGUUCCCUGAGUCUUGAAGGAAGUUAUGUAGGAUGUCCAAUUUAAGAGAAUUUUAUUCUAUUGUUUUGGGUGUGUCCGUGCAUGAGCACGUAUGUCUGCCAGUGCCAGAGGAGGCCAGAAGAGGACAGCAGAUUCCCUGGUAGCUGGAGUUCCAGACAAUUAUAAGCUCCCGACAUGGAUGCUGGGACCCGAACUCUGGUUCUCUAUAAGAGCAGCAAGUGCCUUGCCCGUUGUGUGUCUCAUUUAGAACUGUGCACUUAUUCAACAGUCACUUAUUUGACCCCUUAUGAGUCUCUGCAGCAAUCACCACUCAUACAGAAAGAAGUGUGUGCUACUAAAGCUAAUAGAAUUGAUGAGUAUUUCUUAAAAACUUUUAGAAGAUUCUAAUGCAUAUCUUGGGCUGAGAGUGACCAAACUUAUGACUAAUAAAAUGUACCAGGAAGGAAAUCCCUGCUCAAGAUUAUUAUUGUUUCUGUCGACCCCAAGGUCUCUACUUUUGGGUAUUGUUUUUUGUUUAUGAAACUGGAUUAAAGGGUGUUUUAGGGUUCCUUCAGUUCUCACACGCUGCACGUCUGUGACUCAGGGAAGCGUGGAGCACAUCCUGUGAACCA